GUUUAUUAUAGAUUUAACACAUUUCGAUGCUUGCAGAACAUUAACAAGGAUCCCGGCAAUCAGUUAAAGAUGCAUUACUUUUAAAAUCAUAUUUCGAUAUGAUUUACCUCAAGGUGUGAAAUUUAGAUUAUCAUAUAAAUAAACCAGUAUGCUACGUUUAAAGGACUAUUUCUGUUUGAAAUCGACUGUAUCUCCUUGGGUGAAAGUUGACGGUGACGUGACUGCAGAACUGUUUCGAAGCUUUCAACACUUGUAAAAGGUCCUCGGGACACAAAGACCACGGUUUCGUCGCAGGUGAAAGGAAACAACCAGAGGACUUGUGCGACAGUCCUAUCAAAUGCGAGAGCAAGGCAGAGAGAAGACCUAGAAGAAGCAGAAGUCCAUCUCUGAUAAGGGCUCCAUACAGGCCAAGGUUUGGUGGGAGAUUCUUCAGGCCUUGGUUCAAGAGGGGUGAGAGAUUUUUCCAAAGGCCAAGCUUCCACUAUCAUGGUAGCACAGGUGUGAGGUUCCAUGCCAGGGGCUCUCUGGGGGCUUUAUCUCCCCCCUCACAUGCUACCUGGCAUUCUGAUUUAAAGUAUAAGAAGAAAUGCUCUGCUGGGACCUCGAAACAUCUCAGUGAUAAUCCUCAGUUAUCUAAAUGUACAAGCAGAGAGAGAGAACUGAAGUCCCUUUCCUUUCUGGUCUCUCAAGAAGAUACUGCUAGCCAAACAAGAGAUAUCCCAUUUUCUGUGAUGAGGGCAGCACAACGAAAUCAAGCUAUCCAGCAAAAGAGGAGAGAAAUUGAGGAGGUGUAUAGGCAAGACUGUGACACAUUUGGAAUCAUAGUGAAAAUGCUGAUUGCCAAAGACCCAUCUCUGGAGCAACCCAUACAGUCAUCCUUGCAGGAGAAUCUGAGAGAGAUCGGCCUACGAUGUGUAGGAGCCAUGCAGAACUUUAUCAUGGAGUAUGACUCCAAUACCCAAAGUCCCUCAGACCCUCCUCAGCUCUAAACAUUCUAUCUCUCUGUCUGUCUGUAUGUUCACCCUCAUCUAAUACAAAGGUUUUUUCCUCCUGAUGGCCAUCCUUUUUACCUCUUAUUUUAACUCCCAGAGAAAAGGCAAGACCUUUAAUAAAUUAUUAAAUGUUAUAAUAUAAUAAUAGAUUGUCUGUACAGCAUAGGACUAUUCCUUCACAUACACACAUCUGACAUCAUUGCAAUGUAAAUACCCUCAUCCUCAUUAUUGUAAGUCAUCUGUGGCUUUUGAUUUAAUGCUGA